UACGUAGGGUGCGAGCGUUGUCCGGAAUUAUUGGGCGUAAAGAGCUUGUAGGCGGUUUGUCGCGUCUGCUGUGAAAUUUCGGGGCUCAACCCCGAACUUGCAGUGGGUACGGGCAGACUAGAGUGUGGUAGGGGAGACUGGAAUUCCUGGUGUAGCGGUGAAAUGCGCAGAUAUCAGGAGGAACACCGGUGGCGAAGGCGGGUCUCUGGGCCGAUACUGACGCUGAGACGCGAAAGCGUGGGGAGCGAACAGG
rnacentral:rRNA from 1 species